GGCCGUCUAGCUCAGUUGGUUAGAGCGUCGUGCUAAUAUCAAGUGCUUGAUUACGCGAAGGUCUUGGGUUCGACCCCCACGAUGGCCA